rnacentral:rRNA from 1 species
AUGAACCAUGUCCAGGUCAUGUCGCGGCGCAUGGUCCUGCCGGAGCCGACUUGGCUGCCGCCGGAGCCGGAGACGACCAUCGACCUCACGCCGUGGGACCUCUCGAUGAUCGCCUUGGAGUACAACCAGAAAGGCAUCCUCCUGCCCAACCCUCCCGCCACAGAAGAUGGAGAAGGACGGGGACACCACGCCGUCGUCGAACGCCUGGCAUCGUCCUUCGCGCGCGCCCUGGGCCGGUUCUACCCCUACGCCGGCCGCCUAGCCUUCACACCGGGGAACAAUACUGACGGGGAGCAGGGCGAGAGCAUCGCCAUUUCGCUUCGCUGCAGCAUGGAGGGCGCCGAGUUCGUCCACGCCGUGGCGCCGGGCGUCACCGUGGCCGACAUCACCGCGCCGCUGUGCACCCCGACGCUGGUCCGGUCCUUCUUCCCGCUGGACGGGCUGCAUGGAGUGGACGCUGCCGCGGGCUCGCACCCGCUCCUAGCCGUGCAGGUCACCGAGCUGGCCGACGGUGUCUUCGUCGGCAUAUCGCUCAACCACGCUGUCGCCGACGGUUCGGCCUUGUGGCACCUCUUCAACACCUGGUCCGAGAUCAGCGGCCAAAGUGACGGCGCCGACAUCAAGUCGCCUUUGCCGGUGCAUCGGAGGUGGUUCCUUGACGGCUGCCCUGUUCCGGUUCCUCUGCCCUUUGGCAAGCUGGAGGACAUGCCCGUCAGCCGGCGUACUACAGAUGUUGAGCAUCCAUCAUCGGUGAAGGAGGAAUGCUUCCUCAAUUUCUCCGCGGAGACGGUAAAGCAGCUCAAAGCAAAGGCGAACGCCGAGAUCUAUGGCACCAGCAAUGGCGUCACCACCAUCUCCUCGUUGCAGGCCGUGCUCGCGCACCUAUGGAUCGCGGUGACCCGAGCCAGGAGGUUGGCACCGGACCACAGCACAACGUACGUCAUCCUCGUCGGGUGCCGGGGCCGCUUGGAUGGCCUGCCGGCGGCAUACGCUGGCAACGCCGUUGCACGCGCCGAGGCGGUGUCGACCGCCGGCGAGAUCAUGGAGAGGGGGCUGGGUUCGGCGGCGUCGCUGCUGAACGGAGCGGUGGGGUCCUUCGACGUGGCAACUCAGAGGGACAGACAUGCAUCUUGGCCGCAAGAGCAUUACUUCUUGCGUGCGCGCCCAACGGCCACGGCCAAGAUGGUGACCGGGGGCUCGCCGCGGUUCGACGUGUACGGGAACGACUUCGGGUGGGGCCGGCCGGUGGGCGUGCGGAGUGGCCGAGCGAACAAGAUGGACGGCACGGCGACGGUGUUCGAGGGCAGAGGCGGCGGGGGGAGCAUGGCUCUCGGGGUGUGGCUCCCGCCGGAGGUGCUCGCGAGGCUCGUCGCGGACGAGGAGUUCAUGAGCACAGUGACGUGA